rnacentral:rRNA from 1 species
UGGGGAAUUUUGGACAAUGGGCGCAAGCCUGAUCCAGCCAUUCCGCGUGCAGGACGAAGGCCUUCGGGUUGUAAACUGCUUUUGUACGGAACGAAAAGCCCUUCUCUAAUACAGAGGGGUCAUGACGGUACCGUAAGAAUAAGCACCGGCUAACUACGUGCCAGCAGCCGAGGUAAUACGUAGGGUGCAAGCGUUAAUCGGAAUUACUGGGCGUAAAGCGUGCGUAGGUGGUUUGUUAAGUCUUAUGUUAACGCCCUGGGCUCAACCUGGGAAUUGCAUUGUAUACUUGCUGGCUAGAGUCCGGUAGAGUAUGGCGGAAUUCCGCGUGUAGCAGUGAAAUGCUUAGAUAUGCGGAGGAACCCCGAUGGCGAAGGCAAUCCCCUGGGCCUUCACUGCCGCUCAUGCACAAAAGCGUGGGGAGUAAACA